GAGUUUGAUCAUGGCUCAGGACGAACGCUGGCGGCGUGCUUAACACAUGCAAGUCGAGCGGAAAGGCCCUUCGGGGUACUCGAGCGGCGAACGGGUGAGUAACACGUGAGCAACCUGCCCUAGGCUUUGGGAUAACCCUCGGAAGCGGGGGCUAAUACCGAAUAUUACUUGGUCUCGCAUGAGGUUGGGUGGAAAGUUUUUCGGCCUAGGAUGGGCUCGCGGCCUAUCAGCUUGUUGGUGGGGUAAUGGCCUACCAAGGCGACGACGGGUAGCCGGCCUGAGAGGGCGACCGGCCACACUGGGACUGAGACACGGCCCAGACUCCUACGGGAGGCAGCAGUGGGGAAUAUUGCACAAUGGGCGGAAGCCUGAUGCAGCGACGCCGCGUGAGGGAUGACGGCC
rnacentral:rRNA from 1 species